GCAAGUCGAACGAGAACGGGAUUGCUUGCAAUCCUUAGUAGAGUGGCGCACGGGUGAGUAACACGUAGAUAAUCUACCUUCAAGCCUGGAAUAACUGUUCGAAAGGGCAGCUAAUACCGGAUAAAGUCGAUUUACACAAGUAGAUUGAUGAAAGAUUGCCUCUUCUUGAAAGCAAUUGUUUGGGGAUGAGUCUGCGGACCAUUAGUUUGUUGGUGGGGUAAAGGCCUACCAAGACUGCGAUGGUUAGCUGGUCUGAGAGGAUGAUC
rnacentral:rRNA from 1 species